GCCGGGGUGGCGAAAUGGCAGACGCGCCAGCCUUAGGAGCUGGUGGCCGCAAGGUCGUGCGGGUUCGAGUCCCGCUCCCGGCA
rnacentral:tRNA from 1 species